CCUACGGGUGGCAGCAGUGGGGAAUAUUGGACAAUGGGCGAAAGCCUGAUCCAGCCAUGCCGCGUGUGUGAAGAAGGCCUUCGGGUUGUAAAGCACUUUCAGUGGGGAAGAAAGCCUUGGGGCUAAUACCCUCGAGGAAGGACAUCACCCACAGAAGAAGCACCGGCUAACUCCGUGCCAGCAGCCGCGGUAAUACGGAGGGUGCGAGGCGUUAAUCGGAAUUACUGGGCGUAAAGCGCGCGUAGGCGGUCUGAUAAGCCGGUUGUGAAAGCCCCGGGCUCAACCUGGGAACGGCAUCCGGAACUGUCAGGCUAGAGUGCAGGAGAGGAAGGUAGAAUUCCCGGUGUAGCGGUGAAAUGCGUAGAGAUCGGGAGGAAUACCAGUGGCGAAGGCGGCCUUCUGGACUGACACUGACGCUGAGGUGCGAAAGCGUGGGUAGCAAACAGGAUUAGAUACCCGAGUAGUC
rnacentral:rRNA from 1 species